ACCUCGGCAGUGUAGUGGUAGUAGCACGAGUCUCCGGUAUGGAUGAAACGUGGGUUCGACUCCCGCCUGAGGUC